rnacentral:lncRNA from 1 species
GCCGGCUACGGGGGUCCUAAGUAGCACUCCCUAUUCGUUCUUAGUGCUAGGACGGGUACGGGGUGUUACAAGAGUGGUAUCAGGGCAUGGUUACACGAUGCUAUGGGAAACCAUGUUUUCAAUGUUUUACCGAGUAAAUGCGUCGCAAGGGCUGUCUAGGAGAUUGAUUCGGUCACUUGCAAAACCUUAGUUUAAUGGGAAUUUAGGUUCUUAUGAUUUGUUUGUAUUGUAGUAUGCCACCGAAAAG